rnacentral:rRNA from 1 species
UACGUAGGGACCGAGCGUUGUCCGGAUUCAUUGGGCGUAAAGAGCUCGUAGGCGGCCACUCAAGUCGAAUGUGAAACCUCGAGGCUUAACCUCGAGCCUGCAUUUGAUACUGGGCGGCUAGAGUCUGGUAGGGGGAUCUGGAAUUCCUGGUGUAGCGGUGAAAUGCGCAGAUAUCAGGAGGAACACCGGUGGCGAAGGCGGGAUCCUGGGCCAGUACUGACGCUGAGGAGCGAAAGCGUGGGGAGCAAACAGG